GAUGAACGCUAGCUACAGGCUUAACACAUGCAAGUCGAGGGGAAACGAUAGGGAAAGCUUGCUUUUUCUAGGCGUCGACCGGCGCACGGGUGAGUAACGCGUAUCCAACCUGCCCACCACUUGGGGAUAACCUUGCGAAAGUAAGACUAAUACCCAAUGAUAUCUCAAGAAGACAUCUGAAUGAGAUUAAAGAUUUAUCGGUGAUGGAUGGGGAUGCGUCUGAUUAGCUUGUUGGCGGGGUAACGGCCCACCAAGGCGACGAUCAGUAGGGGUUCUGAGAGGAAGGUCCCCCACAUUGGAACUGAGACACGGUCCAAACUCCUACGGGAGGCAGCAGUGAGGAAUAUUGGUCAAUGGGCGAGAGCCUGAACCAGCCAAGUAGCGUGCAGGAUGACGGCCCUAUGGGUUGUAAACUGCUUUUAUAAGGGAAUAAAGUGAGUCUCGUGAGGCUUUUUGCAUGUACCUUAUGAAUAAGGACCGGCUAAUUCCGUGCCAGCAGCCGCGGUAA
rnacentral:rRNA from 1 species